rnacentral:rRNA from 2 species
GACGAACGCUGGCGGCGUGCCUAAUACAUGCAAGUCGAACGCACUUUCGUUAGAUUGAAGAAGCUUGCUUCUGAUUGAUAACAUUUGAGUGAGUGGCGGACGGGUGAGUAACACGUGGGUAACCUGCCCUAAAGUGGGGGAUAACAUUUGGAAACAGAUGCUAAUACCGCAUAAAACCUAGCACCGCAUGGUGCAAGGUUGAAAGAUGGUUUCGGCUAUCACUUUAGGAUGGACCCGCGGUGCAUUAGUUAGUUGGUGAGGUAAAGGCUCACCAAGACCGUGAUGCAUAGCCGACCUGAGAGGGUAAUCGGCCACACUGGGACUGAGACACGGCCCAGACUCCUACGGGAGGCAGCAGUAGGGAAUCUUCCACAAUGGACGAAAGUCUGAUGGAGCAACGCCGCGUGAGUGAAGAAGGUUUUCGGAUCGUAAAACUCUGUUGUUGGAGAAGAACGUAUUUGAUAGUAACUGAUCAGGUAGUGACGGUAUCCAACCAGAAAGCCACGGCUAACUACGUG